GGGCCCGUAGCUCAGCCCGGGCAGAGCGGGGGGCUCUUAACCCCUAGGUCGCGGGUUCAAAUCCCGCCGGGCCCGCCA
rnacentral:tRNA from 1 species